rnacentral:rRNA from 1 species
UAAUACAUGCAAGUCGAGCGGAUCUUUGAGAGCUUGCUCUCAAAGAUUAGCGGCGGACGGGUGAGUAACACGUGGGUAACCUGCCUGUAAGAUUGGGAUAACUCCGGGAAACCGGAGCUAAUACCGGAUAACAUUUUGAACCGCAUGGUUCGAAAUUGAAAGGUGGCUUUUGCUACCACUUACAGAUGGACCCGCGGCGCAUUAGCUAGUUGGUGAGGUAAUGGCUCACCAAGGCAACGAUGCGUAGCCGACCUGAGAGGGUGAUCGGCCACACUGGGACUGAGACACGGCCCAGACUCCUACGGGAGGCAGCAGUAGGGAAUCUUCCGCAAUGGACGAAAGUCUGACGGAGCAACGCCGCGUGAGUGAUGAAGGCCUUCGGGUCGUAAAGCUCUGUUGUUAGGGAAGAACAAGUACCGUUCAAAUAGGGCGGUACCAUGACGGUACCUAACCAGAAAGCCACGGCUAACUACGUGCCAGCAGCCGCGGUAAUAC